UGAGUGGCGGACGGUGAGUAACGCGUGGGCAAACCCGUUACGGGUACCCUUCGGGUUAAACAGGGGAUAACACUUAGAAAUAGGUGCUAAUACCGCAUAACGGGAGAAGCCGCAUGGCUUUUCCUGAAAACUCCGGUGGUACAGGAUGGGCCCGCGUCUGAUUAGCCAGUUGGCAGGGUAACGGCCUACCAAAGCGACGAUCAGUAGCCGGCCUGAGAGGGCGGACGGCCACACUGGGACUGAGACACGGCCCAGACUCCUACGGAAGGCAGCAG
rnacentral:rRNA from 1 species